rnacentral:misc_RNA from 1 species
CAAUCAACAGCAACCAACACGCACCACGCACCACGCACCACCACCACAGCCGCUGCGCACAACGGGCCCGCUUCGCUGUGAUUUAUUUUUCUUUCGAAAACGGGAAGGACAAGCGCAGAGCAAGCAGAGAAGGAAAAGGAGCAAGUACGUGCACCCCACACACUCCGCUCAUUGUAUCUAUUCAUUUCGACGACGCAUCGGCUCCCCCCUCCCCCUCCCCCUUGCAGGUAUCAUCACGGCGGCGCCUAUAUACACACACUGCUACUUGCCGCGCUGCGCAUUUUUGUUUGCGCUGACGAGUGUGCUGGGUUCUCGGCCCAUUCUGUGUUCCCAAUCUGCUCACGCUCUCCUCGCACACGUGAGCACGGAAGACGACUCGAGUCCCUCGACGGACUUGUCCGAGAUUCGCGUGAGGAAAAGAGUGUGUGUGUGUGUGCACGGCUGCACGAGCAACUUGCCUCGUUACACGGCAUUUCUGUCGUUUAGGAACAAGUCAUGCCGUCCGCGAAGGAGGUAGCGGAGGCGCGCGCCUACGCGCAAGCGCAGGAAGAGGCCGCCGACAAGCGCAAGCUGCAGAACAUCACCGAGGCGGAGCUGAAUGAGCUUGACACCCUCACGAACGACCAGCUGCGCACACGCGCGCGCAACCUGCACCAGGAGACGCAGACACUCCGUAGCUUCGAGAACCGCUCGAAGCAGGAGUUGAUCUCCCUCAAGCGGGACGUGGAGAUGGGCAAAAAGCGUGUCAAGGAGAACAACCGCCUGCCUUACCUCGUCGCGAGCAUUGCCGAAGUGCUUGACUUGAGCGACGACGAGGACGAGGCAGAGGAGCUGGCCGUCGGCCGCAAGAAGCCGGAGCGGAAGCAGAAAAGCGCCGUGGUAAAGACGACGAAUCGGUACACCGUGUUCCUGCCGGUCGCCGGCCUCGUUGACGCGGAGCGGCUGUCGCCGGAGGAUCUUGUAGGCGUGAACAAGGACACAUUCCUAGUGCUCGACACGCUGCCGCCGGACUACGACAGCCGUGUCAAGGCGAUGGAGAUCGACGAAAAGCCGAAGGAGAAGUACACAGAUGUCGGUGGACUGGAUAAGCAAAUCAACGAGCUGAUUGAAGCUGUCGUGAUGCCCAUCACGCACAAGGAGCAGUUCGAGAAGAUUGGCAUCCAGCCCCCAAAGGGGGUACUGCUGUACGGGUCGCCCGGUACGGGAAAGACGAUGCUGGCGCGUGCCUGUGCGGCAGCGACGGACGCAUGUAUCCUGCGCCUUGCCGGGCCGCAGCUGGUGCAGAUGUUCAUCGGCGACGGUGCCCGCAUUGUGCGCGACGCGUUUGCUCUUGCGAAGAAGAAAGCGCCUUCCAUUAUUUUUAUCGACGAGCUCGACGCCGUCGGCUCGAAGCGCUCGGACGAGGGCAAGCACGGCAGCCGCGAGGUGCAGCGCACCAUGCUAGAGCUACUCUCCCAGCUGGAUGGCUUUGGCAGCAGCGACGAUGUGAAGGUGAUCGCCGCUACCAAUCGCAUUGACGUGCUUGACCCGGCGCUGCUGCGCAGUGGCCGCCUAGACCGCAAGGUGGAGUUCCCAAUGCCGGACGAGGAGGCGCGCGCCAGCAUUUUGGAGAUCCACUCGCGCCGCAUGAAUCUCGACAAGGACGUGAAUUUCAAGGAGCUUGCACGAUGCACAGAUGACAUGAACGGCGCGCAGCUCAAGGCUGUGUGCGUCGAGGCUGGCAUGCUGGCCCUGCGCCACGAUCGCACGUAUGUGGCACACGAGGACUUCGUUGAGGGCGUGGCCGCGGUGCAGGCGCGCAAGAAGACGAACCUCAACUACUAUGCAUGAACGCACAUUCACACGCGCACUUUCUCUCUCGCCCCUUUGUUUUUCGUCUGUCCCUCUCCCCCCUCCCCCGUGGUGCACCGAUCACUGCGAAGCGCCACUUCGUCCCAGGACGGAGAGAAGGAAACAGCAGGGGAAGAGAGCGGGCAGAGGUCGCAGGCUGCACAACACCAGUGCGUAUUACCAGUCAAACGAGGGUGUGUGUGUGUGUGUGGGGGGGGGGGAAGACGAGGAAGACAGACGAAACAGAAUGCAGAAGAGAAGGGAACACGGCCACACAUGCGUGCGCUCACUCACAGAGACGGGGGAGGGGGAGGGGUGCAGUUGUCGCGCUUGUUUGUCGUUUUGUGUGUUGCUUGUGAGGACAAGAGGGCUGUGAUAUGGCGCUGAUCCAUUUCUUUGUUCCUGUUCUGUGCGUGAUGACAUGCCGGCCGUGGAAGCGCACCACUCAUGUAGCCAAGAGGAUUGUAUGCAUGUGCAUGCGCAUGCGCACGUGUAUAUGUGCCCCUCUCUGUGCCUAAACUCAACCUUUCCAUAAAAGUGGCGUCUUGACAUUCUUGCUCACGCACACACGUGCACACGCAUGCUGGCAUACUUAGGUGCACGAGUCCACGGAUGCGUGCAAGAGACAGACGCAUUCGCUCGCUUCCCUUUUCUCCCACCAUGUCUGUCGAGCACUUUUCACACUUCAUGCAUUCCGCGCGUGGUUUGCUUGCUUUUUUUUUUGCUUCGCUGAGUUUGCACAUUCCCUACCCGCCCCCCGGCUGCAUUCACUUGACGCUCUCUCUCUUUCCCUCCCCUUCCCCUCCCCCCUUUUUUCAGUCUUUGUCUCUCCGUCACGUUCUUAUCGUGGAAUAUGCGUCUCCUGAGCUGUCGGUGCGUCUGUGUGGAUGUAUGUGUGUGUGCCUUGCGGCCAUGUGGGGUAACAUGAUGGCGGCUAGACCUCAUGUGGUGGGAGACGCGGCUCGUACCUUUGGUUUGCUGUGUACUUGCAGGUGACUCUAUUCGCACAUGCUCCAUCGUUAUGAGCUGUGUGAUAAGCCCCCCCCCCUCCUCCUCCCCUUCCCCAAAGUGUUUUUCCUUUUCGCAUUCGGGAGCGAGAGCGGGGGAAAAGAACAGCCAUUAACGAGGAGGAGGAGCCACGAUGCUUAGUGUGUGAGAUGGCUGCCCAAACUGCCGUGGGUGGGGCGUGAUGUGUGCUAGAGGGCACAUGUGGCUCAUGCCUUCUUCCCUCCUCCUCCAUGAAAGUCGCUGCACUUCGAGCGCACAUGAAUGCCUUGCGAUCGGACCGC